rnacentral:rRNA from 1 species
GACAGAGGGUGCAAACGUUGUUCGGAAUUACUGGGCGUAAAGCGAGUGUAGGCGGUCCGAUAAGUCGGGUGUGAAAGCCCUGGGCUCAACCCAGGAAGUGCACUCGAAACUGCCGGGCUAGAGUAUCGGAGAGGUUGGUGGAAUUCUCGGUGUAGAGGUGAAAUUCGUAGAUAUCGAGAGGAACACCAGUGGCGAAGGCGGCUCACUGGCCCGGUACUGACGCUGAGGCGCGAAAGCGUGGGGAGCAAACAGG